rnacentral:rRNA from 1 species
AGAGUUUGAUCAUGGCUCAGAUUGAACGCUGGCGGCAGGCCUAACACAUGCAAGUCGAACGGUAACAGGAAGAAGCUUGCUUCUUUGCUGACGAGUGGCGGACGGGUGAGAAUGUCUGGGAAACUGCCUGAUGGAGGGGGAUAACUACUGGAAACGGUAGCUAAUACCGCAUAACGUCGCAAGACCAAAGAGGGGGACCUUCGGGCCUCUUGCCAUCGGAUGUGCCCAGAUGGGAUUAGCUAGUAGGUGGGGUAACGGCUCACCUAGGCGACGAUCCCUAGCUGGUCUGAGAGGAUGACCAGCCACACUGGAACUGAGACACGGUCCAGACUCCUACGGGAGGCAGCAGUGGGGAAUAUUGCACAAUGGGCGCAAGCCUGAUGCAGCCAUGCCGCGUGUAUGAAGAAGGCCUUCGGGUUGUAAAGUACUUUCAGCGGGGAGGAAGGGAGUAAAGUUAAUACCUUUGCUCAUUGACGUUACCCGCAGAAGAAGCACCGGCUAACUCCGUGCCAGCAGCCGCGGUAAUACGGAGGGUGCAAGCGUUAAUCGGAAUUACUGGGCGUAAAGCGCACGCAGGCGGUUUGUUAAGUCAGAUGUGAAAUCCCCGGGCUCAACCUGGGAACUGCAUCUGAUACUGGCAAGCUUGAGUCUCGUAGAGGGGGGUAGAAUUCCAGGUGUAGCGGUGAAAUGCGUAGAGAUCUGGAGGAAUACCGGUGGCGAAGGCGGCCCCCUGGACGAAGACUGACGCUCAGGUGCGAAAGCGUGGGGAGCAAACAGGAUUAGAUACCCUGGUAGUCCACGCCGUAAACGAUGUCGACUUGGAGGUUGUGCCCUUGAGGCGUGGCUUCCGGAGCUAACGCGUUAAGUCGACCGCCUGGGGAGUACGGCCGCAAGGUUAAAACUCAAAUGAAUUGACGGGGGCCCGCACAAGCGGUGGAGCAUGUGGUUUAAUUCGAUGCAACGCGAAGAACCUUACCUGGUCUUGACAUCCACAGAACUUUCCAGAGAUGGAUUGGUGCCUUCGGGAACUGUGAGACAGGUGCUGCAUGGCUGUCGUCAGCUCGUGUUGUGAAAUGUUGGGUUAAGUCCCGCAACGAGCGCAACCCUUAUCCUUUGUUGCCAGCGGUCCGGCCGGGAACUCAAAGGAGACUGCCAGUGAUAAACUGGAGGAAGGUGGGG